GCCUAGUUAGCUUAGUUGAUAGUGCGUCUGCCUUGUAAGCGCUAGGCCGCGGGUUCGAUUCCCGCCCGGAGCG
rnacentral:tRNA from 1 species